GAUGAAGAACGUAGCGAAAUGCGAUACGUAAUGUGAAUUGCAGAAUUCAGUGAAUCAUCGAAUCUUUGAACGCACAUUGCGCCUGCCAGCACUCUGGCAGGCAUGCCUGUUCGAGCGUCAUUUCAACCAUCAAGCCCUAGGCUUGCGUUGGAGCCCUGCGGCUGCCGCAGGCCCCUAAAAGCAGUGGCGGGCUCGCUAUCACACCGAGUGCAGUAGAUUACUCUUCGCUCAGGGCGUGUGGCGGGUUCCAGCCGUGAAACCCCCUACUUCUCAAGGUUGACCUCGGAUCAGGUAGGAAUACCCGCUGAACUUAAGCAUAUCAAUAGCGGAGGA
rnacentral:misc_RNA from 1 species